rnacentral:misc_RNA from 1 species
UAAUAAGUGUUUUAUGGCACUUUUUAAAUCCAUAUCCACCUUGUGUGCAAUGUCAGUCAAUUUUCUUUAUGAAGAUUGACCAAACAUCAACCAUAUCUUAACUCUUUGUCUGAAAAAUAUUAUGAAUAAACAAUUCAAAAUA